rnacentral:lncRNA from 1 species
AGGAUGCUUCUGUCUUUAACAUGAGCUGCUCAGUAUGUGUAGAUAAUCUUUUCUAAAGUGCCUUUUUGAAAGAUAUCAUGAAGUGUUACUACUGCUCUCAACAUUGCUACCCUGAAUUUCACAGGCGCUAUCGACAAAGAUAAGUGGGAAAAAGUUGUGAUGGACUACUUUCUGGAGGAUGAUCGUGCCAUGCUGACUCUCUCUGACUCUGAAAAUGAAUCAGACGAUGAGGAAAUCCCUUAUUUAGGUCAAAACAUUUUCAUUAAACCAGACAUUGUAGAGUAUUUUGAUGUCAUUGAUGGGGAAGAAACGGCAAUCAACAGUAUUGUUUUCACAGAAGAAGCUGACCGAGUUUUAAAAUCACUGGAAUGCCCAGUGGAAGCAGAGUAUGAUUGCAAAUGCGGUGGGAGUCGAAAAGAGAGCACAGAAGGCUGGAUUACAAACUAAGGGCAACCAUGGCAUCCAUAACAGAGAGGGAGAAGCGUUCAUCCAUGUAUACUGGUAAUGCCUCCAUGGACAUUGCAGAGGAAAAAUACACAAAGGUGACUACAGUAUGCUGUUGAGCAUGUCUUGAACCACUGAGCCUCACCAGACAGAGUUAAAUCAAUCAAAAGUCCCCAUCCAUCAACUUCCUGUCCUCUUCUACCUGACUCCCAAGAUGCACUGCUUCCAUAAUCCGCGCUCAAAUGGACCACGUCCCACGCCGAUGCACCUUACCGCCUUCGGCCGCCUUCCACUCCACACUGAGCCUCGUUUGCUCGCUCACGUACUUGUGUCCCUCCGCCAUGUCCGCUGUGCAACCAACCCCAUUACUUGUCAAGAGAAUAUCUAUGUUUCCUCUCUGAUCGAUGAGCCAAUCCAUAACCAGAGAGGACGUACCAUUUACUUUUACUGCUCUCCAUUUCAUAUUUACUACUCUUUGUCAAGGGGUGUUUAUCAUUCAAGUAAUAUGGGUUAUUUGCUGGAAUAGCAUGCCAUUGCCAUUUCACAGGAGGUAACAUUUCCUUGUGUGAAUAGCAUGUUGUGAUGGUUAUAGUGUUUUACAUGAUAACGGGCUGAAUGCAUAACACAUUGGUAUACACUCCAGUGUUAAAUCAACACUGACUGUUAAAUGUAACACUGGGCCAGUGUCUAUACGGG